rnacentral:misc_RNA from 1 species
GAUGAAGAACGUAGCGAAACGCGAUAAGUAAUGCGAAUUGCAGAAUUCAGUGAAUCAUCGAAUCUUUGAACGCACAUUGCGCCCGCCAGUAUUCUGGCGGGCAUGCCUGUCUGAGCGUCGUUUCGACCCUCGCGCCCGGCUUCUGUCGGGGGCGGUGUUGGGGAUCGGCCACACCCUUCAGUGGGAGGCCGGCCCCUAAAUUCAGUGGCGACCACGCUGUAGCCUCCCCUGCGUAGUACUAAAACCACCUCGCAGGCGGAGAGCGGUGCGGCCCGCCGUAAAACCCCCCAACUUUUACAAGGUCGACCUCAGAUCAGGUAGGAAUACCCGCUGAACUUAAGCAUAUCAAUAAGCGGAGGA